UACGUAGGGAGCAAGCGUUGUCCGGAAUCAUUGGGCGUAAAGCGCGCGUAGGCGGCCCUGUAAGUCCGUUGUGAAAGUCAAAGGCUCAACCUUUGAAAGCCGAUGGAUACUGCAGGGCUAGAGUCCGGAAGAGGCGAGUGGAAUUCUCGGUGUAGCGGUGAAAUGCGUAGAUAUCGAGAGGAACACCUGCGGCGAAGGCGGGUUGCUGGGCUGACACUGACGCUGAGGCGCGAAAGCCAGGGGAGCGAACGGG
rnacentral:rRNA from 1 species